rnacentral:rRNA from 1 species
UACGGAGGGUGCGAGCGUUGUCCGGAAUCACUGGGCGUAAAGGGCUCGUAGGCGGCCAACUAAGUCAUACGUGAAAUCCCUCGGCUUAACCGGGGAACUGCGUCUGAUACUGGAUGGCUUGAGUUCGGGAGAGGGAUGCGGAAUUCCAGGUGUAGCGGUGAAAUGCGUAGAUAUCUGGAGGAACACCGGUGGCGAAGGCGGCAUCCUGGACCGAUACUGACGCUGAGGAGCGAAAGCCAGGGGAGCAAACGGG